GGAUGAACUAGCGGAUCGUGGAUCUCGAGGUAGGCGUGGCUUGUCAUCAAAAGAGUUUCAGAGACAGAUCGGAGUUGCGCAGUGAAAGCUUCAAGGAGUUGAAUCCGUUUGUUAGAUUACUUCUGCUAUGUUUAUUAUGUUGUAUAUUCUAUUUGUAAACCAAAUGACUAUUGUAUAUGUAUCAUUUGAGAGAAGUUCUUGUAUAUAUAUUUCUGA